rnacentral:rRNA from 1 species
GUCUGUAUGAAGUUAUAUAGAGUCUAACCUGCCCAUUGAAUUUUAAAAGGCCGCGGUAUUUUGACUGUGCAAAGGUAGCAUAAUCAUUAGUUUUUUAAUUGAAGGCUUGUAUGAAAGGUUGGACAAAGGAAAGUCUGUCUUUGCUUUUAUAUUUGAAUUUGACUUUCAAGUGAAAAGGCUUGAAUUUAUCUAAGGGACGAUAAGACCCUAUAAAUCUUUAUAUUUUAUAUUUUUUUUAAUAAAAAUAAUGUUAAUAUUAAUUAAAAUAAAAUAUAUUUAGUUGGGGCGACAAGAAUAUAAAAAUAACUGUUCUAAUAUAGACACAAACUUUUUUGUUAAUAUAAUAGUAGAUCCUUUUUUAAGAUUUUAAGAUUAAGUUACUUUAGGGAUAACAGCGUUAUUUUUUUUGAGAGUUCUUAUCGAAAAAAAAGUUUGCGACCUCGAUGUUGAAUUAAAAUUUCUUUAUUGGUGCAGUAACUAUAAUAGAAAGUCUGUUCGACUUUU